rnacentral:piRNA from 1 species
GGCAGUACAUUCUAAGUGUCUUUUGUG